CAGGAUUGUGAUAAACCAUUUGUGUGAGUAAUGAUCUUCGUUUGGAACUUGUUUUCAAGUCUUAAUUGCUGUCAUUGCAGAGAGUUAUCUGCAACUGAGGGAAGGGAGCCACAAAGGCAGCAAAAGACUGCCUCUCAGCUGAGAAAAGAUUCAGCACUCCUCGCUUAUGACUUGCUCGAUUGUGCACCCGGCCGCAUCUUGGGGUAUAGUAUGACGAUGCUAUUGCAGGUAAAACUGAGUUCGGAUCGGGAGAACCUCAUUGAAGAACAACAAUCUGUCACAGUUUUCAAGCUCUAUCG
rnacentral:lncRNA from 1 species